ensembl:ncRNA ZK1290.22 ncRNA
GCCCGUGGUAUCCACGUGAACACUCGAAGUUUUUCUUUGCAUUGAAAGGCGCCUGUCUUUGCAAUUCUUAUAGAAAAAAGAUAACAGUUCGGACAUUACCCCUGCAAGUGAUCCAUUUGUCAUUCUAUAUUUAUCAAAGUUAUGUAC